GACUUUGGGAUAACUUCAGGAAACUGGGGCUAAUACCGGAUAGGAGCUCCUGCUGCAUGGUGGGGGUUGGAAAGUUUCGGCGGUUGGGGAUGGACUCGCGGCUUAUCAGCUUGUUGGUGGGGUAGUGGCUUACCAAGGCUUUGACGGGUAGCCGGCCUGAGAGGGUGACCGGCCACAUUGGGACUGAGAUACGGCCCAGACUCCUACGGGAGGCAGCAGUGGGGAAUAUUGCACAAUGGGCGGAAGCCUGAUGCAGCAACGCCGCGUGCGGGAUGACGGCCUUCGGGUUGUAAACCGCUUUCGCCUGUGACGAAGCGUGAGUGACGGUAAUGGGUAAAGAAGCACCGGCUAACUACGUGCCAGCAGCCGCGGUGAUACGUAGGGUGCGAGCGUUGUCCGGAUUUAUUGGGCGUAAAGGGCUCGUAGGUGGUUGAUCGCGUCGGAAGUGUAAUCUUGGGGCUUAACCCUGAGCGUGCUUUCGAUACGGGUUGACUUGAGGAAGGUAGGGGAGAAUGGAAUUCCUGGUGGAGCGGUGGAAUGCGCAGAGAUCAGGAGGAACACCAGUGGCGAAGGCGGUUCUCUGGGCCUUUCCUGACGCUGAGGAGCGAAAGCGUGGGGAGCGAACAGGCUUAUAUACCCUGGUAGUCCACGCUGUAAACGGUGGGUACUAGGUGUGGGGUCCAUUCCACGGGUUCCGUGCCGUAACUAACGCUUUAAGUACCCCGCCUGGGGAGUACGGCCGCAAGGCUAAAACUCAAAGGAAUUGACGGGGCCCCGUCACAAGCGGCGGAGCAUGCGGAUUAAUUCGAUGCAACGCGUAGAACCUUACCUGGGUUUGACAUGGAUCGGGAGUGCUCAGAGAUGGGUGUGCCUCUUUUGGGGUCGGUUCACAGGUGGUGCAUGCCUGUCGUCAGCUCGUGUCGUGAGAUGUUGGGUUAAGUCCCGCAACGAGCGCAACCCUUGUUCACUGUUGCCAGCACGUUAUGGUGGGGACUCAGUGGAUAUCGCCGGGGUCAACUCGGAGGAUAGUGGCGAUGACGUUCAGUCCUCUUGCCCCUUAUGUCCCGGGUCUUCACGCAUGCCUACAAUGGCUGGUACAGACAGUUGGCUAGCCUUGUGUAGGCCGCAUCGAACCUCGUCAAACCCCGUCUCAGUUCCUAAUGGGGGUCCUGCACCUCAACCUCUUGAAGGCCAGAAUUCCCUAGAAAACCUAAAAUCAACCAACGUUGCGCGUAAAUACGUUCCAGGGGCC
rnacentral:rRNA from 1 species